CUAACAAUUAAAUCAAUAAUUUCCAAGAGCUUUGAGCACAAUGUGUGGUCAUUUCACAUUACAUUUUCAUCAGGUAAAUCUUGUAAAUGCCUGUUUUCCCUCAGGUCCUUGCUUUUGGAGACAGUGCCUGGCUUGAUUAAGUUGAAUAAUGAGCAGACUGCUGCUGCUGCAGUGCCCCAUAAAUGUCCAGAACAGCAGUGGCGUUUCCAGGCCCUCUGUCAAGCACAACAAGAGUGACAAGAUUCACUUCUCCAGCAGCAAAAGAUGGAGAUCAGUUCUGCACCCUCACAAGAUGACGCCCAGCUUCUUGCAAUUGGCCACCAAGCAGACCUGCUCAGAAUGGCAGUGGACCAGUGUUAUGCCCAUGAAUAUAUCAAAAGCUGUUUUACAGAGGAUUCUACACUGGCAGCAGCUGCUAACAGUAGUUCAUAGCGGCAGCUGUGGCGAUCCAGCGAUGUUGGCGGAGGAGAUGCGUAUUGCAGAGACGUGA
rnacentral:lncRNA from 1 species